CACGUAGGGCGCAAGCGUUGUCCGGAAUUAUUGGGCGUAAAGAGCUCGUAGGUGGUUUGUUACGUCUGCUGUGAAAACCUAGGGCUUAACCCUGGGCUUGCAGUGGAUACGGGCAGACUAGAGGUAGGUAGGGGAGAAUGGAAUUCCCGGUGUAGCGGUGAAAUGCGCAGAUAUCGGGAGGAACACCGGUGGCGAAGGCGGUUCUCUGGGCCUUACCUGACGCUGAGGAGCGAAAGCGUGGGGAGCGAACAGG
rnacentral:rRNA from 1 species